GUGGGGAAUCUUGGACAAUGGGGGAAACCCUGAUCCAGCAACGCUGCGUGAGGGAUGAAGGUUCUAGGAUCGUAAACCUCUUUUCUUAGGGACGAAAACCCGCAAGGGCGUGACGGUACCUGAGGAAUAAGCCCCGGCUAAAUAUGUGCCAGCAGCCGCGGUAAGACAUAUGGGGCAAGCGUUACUCGGAAUUACUAGGCGUAAAGCGCGUGUAGGCGGAGACGCAAGUCUGCUGUGAAAUCUCCCGGCUCAACUGGGAGCGGUCAGUGGAAACUGCGUGUCUAGAGUUAGGUAGGGGCAACCGGAAUUCCUGGUGUAGCGGUGAAAUGCGUAGAUAUCAGGAGGAACACCAAUGGCGAAGGCAGGUUGCUGGGCCUCAACUGACGCUAAGACGCGAAAGCUAGGGUAGCAAACAGG
rnacentral:rRNA from 1 species